rnacentral:rRNA from 1 species
UACGUAGGGGGCGAGCGUUGUCCGGAAUUACUGGGCGUAAAGCGCGCGUAGGCGGCUUUGCAAGUCGGGUGUGAAAUCCCCAGGCUUAACCUGGGAACUGCAUUCGAGACUGCAUUGCUAGAGUAUGGGAGAGGGAAGUGGAAUUUCAGGUGUAGCGGUGAAAUGCGUAGAUAUCAGGAAGAACACCCGUGGCGAAAAGCGGGCUCUCUGGAACGGUACUGGACGCUGAAGACGGCGAAAGCGUGGGGAGCAAACGGG